AUUGAACGCUGGCGGCAGGCCUAACACAUGCAAGUCGAGCGGAUGGCGGGAGCUUGCUCCUUGAUUCAGCGGCGGACGGGUGAGUAAUGCCUAGGAAUCUGCCUGGUAGUGGGGGACAACGUUUCGAAAGGAACGCUAAUACCGCAUACGUCCUACGGGAGAAAGCAGGGGACCUCCGGGCCUUGCGCUAUCAGAUGAGCCUAGGUCGGAUUAGCUAGUUGGUGAGGUAAUGGCUCACCAAGGCGACGAUCCGUAACUGGUCUGAGAGGAUGAUCAGUCACACUGGAACUGAGACACGGUCCAGACUCCUGCGGGAGGCAGCAGUGGGGAAUAUUGGACAAUGGGCGAAAGCCUGAUCCAGCCAUGCCGCGUGUGUGAAGAAGGUCUUCGGAUUGUAAAGCACUUUAAGUUGGGAGGAAGGGCAGUAAGUUAAUACCUUGCUGUUUUGACGUUACCGACAGAAUAAGCACCGGCUAACUCUGUGCCAGCCGCCGCUGUAACAC
rnacentral:rRNA from 1 species